UUAUCACACUAUCCAAACCUUUACUUCCCCGAGAAGAGGUGCCCGAAGCCUGCUGCCGAUACACUGGUAGCGAGCUUCGAGUGCCAAACUUAUAAAAACCAAAACCAGGUGCCAAAGCAG
rnacentral:rRNA from 1 species